rnacentral:rRNA from 1 species
CAGAAUCCCGCCUAGACGGAACGAUACCGUAGCGCCGCGGAUCUUCGGUUGGUCUCGAGUAGCCGGCCCCCGGGCCGGUGAGGAGAGCCGUUCGAGACGGGGCUGGGGUGCGGCCGGAUGAUGGUCGCCCCUCUCCCGCCACGGAAAGCAUGUUUGUGGAGAACCUGGUGCUAAAUCACUUGCAGACGACCUGAUUCUGGGUCAGGGUUUCGUGCGUCGNAGAGCAGCUCCCUCGNUGCGAUCU